AUCUAUUUAGUUUAAAAAAAAUUUAAAUUUGUGGAAUUUAAGAUGUAAAAGUGGAUACAUUAGAUA
rnacentral:tRNA from 1 species